AGUAACACGUAGGUAAUCUACCUUUGAUGGGGAAUAACUUAGGGAAACUUAAGCUAAUACCGCAUAAUGCCAGCGGCAUCGCAAGAUGACAGUGUUAAAGGAGCAAUCCGCUUAAAGAGGAGCCUGCGGCAGAUUAGGUAGUUGGUAAGGUAAUGGCUUACCAAGCCUACGAUCUAUAGCCGACCUGAGAGGGUGGUCGGUCACACUGACACUGAAUAACGGGUCAG
rnacentral:rRNA from 1 species